CUCCAGUGAAUUCCAGGGGGCUUAUGCACCCCGACCCCUGCCUUUGCAAUGGGCCAUGGGGGGAGAAAGCUCACCAUUUGAGGCCCACAGUCCCUGCCCCCCUAACCUUCCUCGGUACGUGGCCCAGGGCCUGGCCUCUCCUGUCACUCCCCUCUCCUGUGGCUGGAGUCUGAUCCCUUCCCACAGAGGAGGGGCUCCCUAGGGGCCUGGCCCAAUCCACUACCUUCCAGACCUUCCAUCUGCUGCAGGAACCACACUCACUGAUGUGCAGUGCAACCUAGAAACCUUUGCCGAGAGGAAGCAUCAUUGCAUCCACGUGGGAAGAUGGCUGGCUGGGCAGGGAUCUUGAAGAUGUCAAGCACAUCUCUCACCUGGAACUAACUGUGCCUCUUUGAACGUUAAGCAAACACCGGGGCUAUACUGCCACUGUGUGGCAGCAUGCAGAACUGCAGCUGAGCCUACAUCGGGCCCUUGGAGAGUCUGUUGCAUUGAAGAGGAGUGGUCCAGAAGGAGUCAGCUGGAGACGUUGUUACCACUGGCCCUAUCCCAGAUCCCCUGAGUUAGAAGCUCGGGGAGGGGCCUGGGAGUCUGCAUUGAAACUUGCUUCCUGUGUGGUUCUUAUGGAGGACUGGUUGACUUCAUUUAUAGGAUCCAGGGCAAAAUAAAAAUAUGGAGUCCCUUAUUCAGAAAUUAUUAAGAAUGUCAAGACAGAAAUAGCAGAACAUUAAACUAAGUGUCAGCCUUGUAUGACUGCAUGGGUCAUGCCCACGGGGCUAUCCCUCUUCUUAUGCUCUCUACAUUUGGACAGUCACCACUGUCAUCCCUGAAUCUGUUUGAUGUGUCUUGAAUACUAACUACAUAAUAAGAUGUGGUGGUUAAAAGCGUAACCAUGGAGGUGAGGUAGUCUUUGAACAGAAUCAGACUCUUGAGUUAUGUGCCUUUGGACAUAUUUCUAACCUCUGUGAAUCUCAUUUACUUCCUCUUUAAAUAUUGGGAUAGUUUCUAUCUUAAAAGACUUGCU
rnacentral:lncRNA from 1 species